rnacentral:rRNA from 1 species
AGACGGGGCCCGCACAAGCGGUGGAGCAUGUGGUUUAAUUCGAAGCAACGCGAAGAACCUUACCAGGUCUUGACAUCCCGAUGCUAUUCUAGAGAUAGAAAGUUACUCGGUACAUCGGUGACAGGUGGUGCAUGGGUUGUCGUCAGCUCGUGUCGUGAGAUGUUGGGUUAAGUCCCGCAACGAGCGCAACCCUCGUCCUAUGUUGCCAGCGGGUCAUGCCGGGGACUCAUGGGAGACUGCCGGGGUCAACUCGGAGGAAGGUGGGAUGACGUCAAAUCAUCAUGCCCCUUAUGUCUUGGGCUUCACGCAUGCUACAAUGGCCGGUACAAAGGGCUGCGAUACCGCGAGGUGGAGCGAAUCCCAGAAAGCCGGUCUCAGUUCGGAUUGGGGUCUGCAACUCGACCCCAUGAAGUCGGAGUCGCUAGUAAUCGCAGAUCAGCAACGCUCGCGGUCCGAAUACGUUCCCGGGCCUU